UACAAGAAUAACUCAUCAUUCAGCCGAGGUGUGGAAAAUACAGCGGACCAUGGGACUAUUGGUCCUAGAACAUUUUUAUGCAGGUAGAAAGAAAAAAGGGAAGGAAGAAAAAGGGGGAAAGAAAGAAAAGAAGGAAAAGGAAAGAAACAAAAAGAAGGAAAGAAAAAGAAUAGAAAGAAAGAGAGUAACUGUACCAAAUAAAUAGCCAUUUUGUUCAAGGACAGACACUAGGUGUAGGGGGUGCCCCCAAAAUAAUUUACGAAAGAACUUUGAUAGCGGAAUGUAACUUCGUUUGCAGGCAACCUUGUU